rnacentral:rRNA from 1 species
GGGUUCCUACGAGAGGCAGCAGUAGGGAAUUUUCGUCAAUGGGCGCAAGCCUGAACGAGCAAUGCCGCGUGAACGAGGAAGGUCUUCGGAUCGUAAAGUUCUGUUGAAGGGGAAAAAGAGCGGAGAGAGGAAAUGAACUCCGAUUGAUAUUACCCUUCGAGGAAGUUACGGCUAACUACGUGCCAGCAGCCGCGGUAAUACGUAGGUGGCGAGCGUUAUCCGGAAUGAUUGGGCGUAAAGGGUGCGCAGGCGGCCUGCUAAGUCUGGAGUGAAAGGUACCGGCUCAACCGGUACAGGCUCUGGAA